GCCUCUUGCCAAAACAUAGGAGGUCCAACCUGCCCAGUGACAUCAAUUCAACGGCCGCGGUAUACUGACCGCGCUAAGGUAGCACAAUCACUUGUCUCUUAAAUGGGGACUAGUAUGAAAGGACCCACGAGAAUCUAACUGUCUCCUUUUUUUAAUCCGUGAAACUAAUCUCCCCGUGAAAAAGCGGGGAUUAACAUAUAAGACGAGAAGACCCUAUGGAGCUUUAGAUAAAGCAAUACUUUCUUCUUAUUUUACUCUCAGCAAUUGUACCCUAAAAGCACCUUAUUGCUAAUCUUCGGUUGGGGCGACCACGGAGAAAAACUAAACCUCCAUGCUGAAUGGAAACCUUCCCACAACAAAGAACUACAGUUCUACGAACCAAAAAAUUGACAAUUGACCCAAUAUUUGAUCAACGAAACAAGUUACCCUAGGGAUAACAGCGCAAUCUACUUCAAAAGUCCUUAUUGACAAGUGGGUUUACGACCUCGAUGUUGGAUCAGGGUGUCCCAGUGGUGCAACCGCUACUAAAGGUUUGUGUGUUCAACAAUUAAAACCCUACGUGAUCUGAGU
rnacentral:rRNA from 1 species